GAUCCUGGCUCGGGAUGAACGCUAGCUACAGGCUUAACACAUGCAAGUCGAGGGGAAACGACAUCGAAAGCUUGCUUUUGAUGGGCGUCGACCGGCGCACGGGUGAGUAACGCGUAUCCAACCUGCCCACCACUUGGGGAUAACCUUGCGAAAGUAAGACUAAUACCCAAUGAUAUCUCUAGAAGACAUCUGAAAGAGAUUAAAGAUUUAUCGGUGAUGGAUGGGGAUGCGUCUGAUUAG
rnacentral:rRNA from 1 species